CAGUCACGUAGCAGGGCAAGCUCACUCUCUGGCAACAAGCUCCCUGGAGUGAUUUUUCUUCUAGAAGAGUCCACGGGGACAGGGUUUCUCUUCUCCCUCUCCCAACCUGUGUCGGGUCCUUCUUCCUGGAUACUCACCAGGCUGCCCCAGUUCUCACUCCCAUUGAGUGUCGGGUUCCUAGAGAAGCCAAUCAAUGUAGCCGCGGUCCCGGUUCUAAAGUUCCCACGCACCCACCGGGACUCCGAUUCUCCCCAGUCGCCGAGGAUGGUGUCAUGGCGCCCCGAACCCUGCUUCUGCUGCUCUCGGGGGCCCUGGUCCUGACCCAGACCUGGGCAGGCUUCCACUCCUUGAGGUAUUUCCACACCACCAUGUCCCGGCCCGGCCGCGCGGAUCCCCGCUUCCUCUCCGUGGGCGACGUGGACGACACGCAGUGCGUGCGGCUCGACAGCGACGCCACGAGUCCCAGGAUGGAGCCGGAGGGGCCGGAAUAUUGGGAAGAGGAGACAGGGACCGCCAAGGCCAAAGCACAGUUUUACCGAGUGAACCUGCGGACCCUGAGCGGCUACUACAACCAGAGUGAGGCCUGUGAGUGACACCGGCCGGGGGCGCAGAUCACUACCCCUCUACAUCCCCCACGGACCGCCCGGGU
rnacentral:misc_RNA from 1 species